GGUCUACACUGGCUCAGUACAAAAGUACCUCCCAUAGACCUCACAGCUAGAACUCCAGUGUCACUACCUGAACCGUGAGACAGGAAGGCACAGCCUCGCCUGGCUAAGCUCAUAGAGAAGAUUGAAAAACAAACCGUAUCAAAUUGGCAGUGAGGAGAAGAAAAGGUGCAUAAACCUCCCACUUUGAAAGAAGAUUGAAUAAUUCCAGGAUUUGUAUGUGGCCUACAUCUGGCCAGAUACAAUAGAUAACAAUUAUCACCUUGAAGAUACGUGACCCAGUCUGGUGGAAGACACACCUUUUUGGGAGUGCUAACCUUGGAUACUGACAUUUUGUACUUGGAAAGAUCUUGAAAGUGAAUUGAAACCAACCCAAAGGAAAACAGAAACUGUAUUUUGUAACUCCAGCCCAUCUCACUUUGUAAUGUGAAAGAAAAUGACAUCAUUAAGGCUAAAACUUUCUAGAGUGGAUUUGAGAGAUUGCAAGAGGACUGAAGGUAAAGGUAAAGACACAGAAUGUUCCAAUAGACUUGGAUAAACAACUAAAGUCAGUAUCUUGCAGCCUUCAGCAUCUCAGCUGCGAGCACCAUAAUUAACCAAUAAGAAUGGAUUUACAAUUUGGAAUUUCUGCCCAGACAAUGAACUGCCUCCAAAACAGCACUGUGGAAAUGCCCUGGAACAACCCUUGACUGCGUGCUUGCCUUAUGUCACACCACUCAGGGCUGCCUUGAUUCAGCAAUUCUUUGUUUCUCGAGUAAAUGGUAUUUCUUUUUACCCCCAAGUCAAUCUUUUGUGAACAAUAAUAACCACAUCUCAAGGGCUCCUAAACCACAGGUGGUUGUUGGCUACGACAUUGAAGAACACAAGUCUUUGCAAUGAGCCACUGACAGUUUGGAACAGGACUGUCACAUUAUGAGUUUGUUAAAAGUACACAGAAGACAACAGAAAGAGCUCCCAGUGGACAAGAUUGAAAUAAUUUGGGCAAGGGAAUAAUAUAACUCAAAGUAUAAAACUAUUAUAAAGUAUAAAAUAAAUAGCCAUCAUUUA